rnacentral:rRNA from 1 species
GAAUUUUUGGCAAUGGGCGCAAGCCUGACCAAGCAACGCCGCGUGGGUGAUGAAGUCUCUUGGGACGUAAAACCCUUUCGACGGGGAAGAAACCGCCAGGUUGACGGUACCCGUAGAAGAAGCCCCGGCUACCUCCGUGCCAGCAGCCGCGGUAAUACGGGGGGGGCGAGCGUUGUUCGGAAUUACUGGGCGUAAAGGGCGCGUAGGCGGUUCGCUAAGUUGGAUGUGAAAACUCUGGGCUCAACCCAGAGCCUGCAUCCAAAACUGGCGGGCUAGAGUUCUGGAGGGGGUAGCGGAAUUCCUGGUGUAGCGGUGAAAUGCGUAGAUAUCAGGAGGAACACCGGUGGCGAAGGCGGCUACCUGGACAGAAACUGACGCUGAGGCGCGAAAGCUAGGGGAGCAAACAGG